CAGAAUAAGCAUAUCUCAAUCAUAUUCCUUCAUUUUUUGUAGUAAUUGUAAUAAAUUUCAGUAAAUGUAUUUACCUUUUACAGUAAUUUUAAUUCUAUUCGAGCGUUUUCAAAAGUAACUAUUGUAUAACGGAAUAAUUGCACUAUACAAUGCAAUACAAGCAACGAAAAUGUGAGGUCAAACCAUGGUGUACGUGGGUCAAACCAAGUAAAAGUUUGUACGACUUGAACGAAGCACGGUUUCGAAAAUCCUACGAGCUUCGCCCUCUCGAUUUUUAGUGAAAAAAUGAAGACAAAUAUAUUCGUUCAGGAGUCAUACUGACAGAAUAGUAAUUAUUAUAAACAUUUUUACAAACAAUAUGAUUUCGGUAAUUGUAUAGCCCACUUACGGAAAUGAAGAGCUUGUCAAAGCUUGCACAAUGGGAUGGUCCAAAUGGUCAAUGUGAACUUGAGAAGAGCAGACCAGGUUAAGAUAGUCCAAUUGGCCAGGUGUUGAAAGACGUAACAAAUGAGAAUAAGAUUAUAAUAGCUGAAUGGUCAAUUUAGCAAAAAAAAAUUAGUUCAAGAGGUUCAGAAAAAAGCGUUUUUUUUAAUUGGCCAGACGGUUUCACUACUAUGAAAAGUUACCUUCAAGAUAAAAAUCAAGAGUUUCCAAUUUUGGUUCCCAAAUUUAUAAAGGAGCUUGUAUGUGCUGUGUGAUCACUGCCAAUAGUACUAGAAAAAUGUUCAAGUUUAGUUAGAAGAAAACAGUGAGAAAGAGAGUUAUACUACCAAAGAAUUUCAAAAUACAAAUGUAGGUUCUGCUAACGUCUUUGUAAAUCACAUGUAGCAUAUUUUAGAUUUCAUAACAAUAAUAAGUAAUAAUAAAUAACUAGUGUAAUUUAGAUUUUCUCAGUUUUUCUGUGCCACAUUAAAGUCAAGUUAAUUAGUUUAAAUAUACAACUUAUUCAAAGUAAUUUAUAUGAAAUUCAUAUGUCAUUCGUACAAUCAAUUUUAUA